rnacentral:rRNA from 1 species
UACGUAGGGUGCAAGCGUUAAUCGGAAUUACUGGGCGUAAAGCGUGCGCAGGCGGUUUUGUAAGUCAGAUGUGAAAUCCCCGGGCUUAACCUGGGAACUGCGUUUGAAACUACAAGGCUAGAGUGUGGCAGAGGGGGGUGGAAUUCCGCGUGUAGCAGUGAAAUGCGUAGAGAUGCGGAGGAACACCGAUGGCGAAGGCAGCCCCCUGGGCUGACACUGACGCCUCAGGCACGAAAGCGUGGGGAGCAAACAGG